UACGUAGGGUGCAAGCGUUAAUCGGAAUUACUGGGCGUAAAGCGUGACGCAGGCGGUUAUGCAAGACAGAUGUGAAAUCCCACGGCUCAACCGUGGAACUGCUGGGCAUACUGGACAUCUCGAGGCACUCAGGGGCGAGCGGAACAAGUGGUGGAGCGGUGAAAUGCGUAGAUAUCACUUGGAACGCCAAUGGUGAAGAUCAGCCUCGGCUGGGGGGAUGUCCUGAC
rnacentral:rRNA from 1 species